ACCUUGGUGGCUCAGACGGAUAGAGCGUCUGCCAGGUAAGCAGGAGAUCCCGGGUUCGAGUCCCGGUUAGGACU